rnacentral:lncRNA from 1 species
GUCCAGCUGCCUGGGAGAGGCAGGGUACCACAGAGGAGCUGGCAUCCCGAGAAAGGAUGCCACCACCAGCUGGUCCCUUCCAGAGCUCUGUCUGAACUCCACCAGCCUUGCUUCUGGCCUCAUCCUGCAGACCCAGGGGACACCUCCACUUGCAAGUUCAGUCCAUGGGCACUGCACACUCUCUCGGCCCCAAGUUGAACCCCUUUUCCUCACCCAACAUCCUCCAUUUCAACAAAUGGCAGCGUUGUGGGUAAAAUAACACCUCCUUCAGAGACAUUGACAUCCUCAUCCCUGACUUCGGCUGCAGCUCAGUGGUGCAAUCUCAGCUCAUUGCAACUUCCACCUCCCAGGAUGAAGCAAUCCUCCCACCUCAGCCUCUCCAGUAGCUGAGACUUCAAGCUCCCUCCAGCAGCCGAGCUGAUUUUUGUAUUUUUUUAUAGAGAUGGGGUUUCACCAUGUUGCCCAGGCUGGUGUCAAAUCCCUGGGCUCAAGUAAUCUGCCCACCUCGACCUCCCAAAGUGCUGGGAUUGCCUGCGUGAGCCCCAUCCCCGGCCUGCUCAUUUCCUUCUAGUGCUGAAGAAUAUUCCGAUGUCUGGAUAGACCACAGUUUGUCUGUCCACUCACCUCUAGGCAGACAUCUUGGUUGCUUCCAGUUUUUAGUGACGGUGAAUAAAACUGCUCUAAACAUUCGUGUGCAGGUGUUGGUGUGAACAUAAGUUUUCAACUCAUUUAUCGAGUGGCUGCACCGUUUUGCAGUUCCGCCAGCAACGCAUGAGACUUCCUGUUGCCGCACGCCCACCCCGGCAUUUGGCGUUGUCAGUGUUUUGGAUUUUGGCCAUUCUUACAGUUCUAGGGUACAGGUGCACAACGUGCAGGUUUGUUACAUAUGUAUACAUGUGCCACAUUGGUGUGCUGCGGAGCAGAGUUCUUAAGGACAACUUGGCGGUACGGGGAAGCCAGUGAGGCAGGAGUGCUGAUUGGCCAGGGAUGAAAUCACAGAGGGUUGGAGCUGUCUUCUUGCGGCCUAAUUCAGUCCCCCAUGCCAGGCAGGACCAGGGCACACGAGAAUGGUGAAGUCCUGGGGCAACUGUCACCAUGGCCUCUGCAGGCUCAGUGUCGGGAGACCCAGUUUCUGACCUGGAUACACUGCUCACCUUUGAGGUCGGGGCCUAGAGGGACGGUGCCACGUUGGAGACAGGCCUCCAGGGACAGUGCCACGUUGAAGACGGGGUUCCAGGGACGGUGCCACGUUAGAGAUGGGGUUCCAGGGACAGUGCCACGUUGAAGACGGGGUUCCAGGGACGGUGCCACGUUGGAGAUGGGGUUCCAGGGAUGGUGCCACAUUGGAGAUGGGCAAGUCUGGGCUAAGGGAGGAGGGCCCAGGGUGGCCAGGGCAGGGCCCAGUGAGGUGCUGCUCUGAGGAGGUGGAGAGUGGGCGCUUGGGCAGGGGACACUUGGAGAGUAAGGAUGAGGUCCAUCUGGGUACCCUGGGUAUAGGGAGUGUUGUUGAAAAAAAGCCAAACACUAUAAAAUAUUUGAAGAUAUUUAUUCUGAGCAAAUGUGAGGACUAUGACCUGUGAAACCACCUCAGCAGGUCCUGAGAAUAUGUGAGCAAGGUGGCUGGGUAACAGCUUGGCUUUAUACUUUUUUUUAAAAUUUUCAGGUCUUUUCUGUAGAGACAGGGUCUCACCAUGUUGCCCAGGCUGAUCUCAAGCUCUUCAGCUCAAGCAAUGCUCCCACCUUGGCCUCCGAGUAUGCUGGGAUUAUAGGCAACAGUCACCAUGCCCGGCCUGGUUUUACGGAUUUUACAGAGACAGAUGUUACAGGCCAAAACCAUAAAUCAACAUAUGUAAGAUAUACAUUGGUUCAGCCUAGAAACAGGGUUGGCAGGGGCAGCUUCCAGGUCAUAGGGGAUUCAAAGAUUUCCUGAUUGGCAAGUGGUUGAAAGAGUUAUGUUUUGCCUAAAGAGUUAAAGUGGGAUUACUCACGCCUGUAAUCCCAGCACUUUGGAAGGCUGAGGCAGGCAGAUCACCUGAGGUCAGGAGUUCGAGACCAGCCUGGCCAACAUGGUGAAACACCAUCUCUACUAAAAAUACAAAACAUAUAUACACAUAUACAUGUAUAUAUAUAUACACAUAUACAUGUAUAUAUAUACACAUAUACAUGUAUAUAUAUACACAUAUACAUGUAUAUAUAUACACAUAUACAUGUAUAUAUAUACACAUAUACAUGUAUAUAUAUACACAUAUAUACACAUAUACAUGUAUAUAUACACAUAUAUACACAUAUACAUAUAUGUAUAUACAUAUAUAGUGUAUAUAUAUACGUAUAUAUAUGUGUAUAUAUACACUAUAUAUGUGUGUGUGUGUAUAUAUAUAUAUACAUACGUGUGUGUAUAUAUACAUAUUAGCCAGGCGUGGUAGCACGCGCCUGUAAUCCCAGCUACUUAGGAGGCUGAGGCAGGAGAAUCGCUUGAACCCAGGAGGUAGAGGUUGCAGUGAGCCGAGAUCAUGCCACUGCACUCCAGCCUGGGCCACAGAGCGAGAUUCUGUCUCAAAAAAAAAAAAAAAAAAAAAAGAGUUGACGUGAGUGGACAAAAGGUGCCCGACCUCCUAAGGGAAGGAGCUUCUCUAGAAAACGCGAAUUUCGCCCCCUCAAGAGACAGCUGUGCAGUGCCAUAUCAAAACAUGUGAAAGGAAUGUAUUUUAGGGUGGAAUACUUUGCCUGCCUUCGGGCCUGCUGUCUGCCACGUGAGGCUGUGCCAGUGUGAGGCUGGAAUUUGGGAUCUGGAGGCUAGAGCCAUCGGUGAGGCCUGAGUCUCUAAGCACAGCGCCCAGAGGGAGAGGGCGGAGCGGGUCCGACCCCCUUUGCGGCAGGGCCUGAGCUGGUUUUCCAGGUUUCUCUGGAAGCCCUGUAGAGGAGCGGAGGGUCCAUUCGGUGGGCUGGGGACUUUGAAUUUAACCUUGGUUUGCAAGAGGCUUCCAGAGAGGAUGUCUGGGAGCGUCUCGGAGGGGGACGAGGGGGCGCCGGGAGGAGCAGGUGCAGGAGCCCACGGCGCAGCGCCCCGCGCAGGCCUGGACGCGGGGACGGCCGCGGCGGCCGGGACAGGGGUCACCCCGCGGGGCCCUCCAGGGUGGGCCGCCCCACGACCCCAGGC